CCUACGGGGGGCAGCAGUGGGGAAUAUUGGGCAAUGGACGCAAGUCUGACCCAGCAACGCCGCGUGAAGGAAGAAGGCUUUCGGGUUGUAAACUUCUUUUAAGGGGGAAGAGCAGAAGACGGUACCCCUUGAAUAAGCCACGGCUAACUACGUGCCAGCAGCCGCGGUAAUACGGAGGUGGCAAGCGUGAUCCGGAAUUACUGCGUGUAAAGGGCGUGGAGGCGGGAAAACAAGUCAGAUGUGAAAUCCCGGGGCUUAACCGUGGAACUGCAUUUGACACUGUUUGUCUUGAGUAUCGGAGAGGUAGUCGGAAUUCCUAGUGUAGCGGUAAAAUGCGUAGAGAUUAAGAGGAAUACCAGUGGCGAAGGCGAAUUGCUAGACGACAACUGACGGUGAGGCGCGAAAGCGUGGGGAGCAAACAGGAUUAGAUACCCUAGUAGUC
rnacentral:rRNA from 1 species